rnacentral:rRNA from 1 species
GACGAACGCUGGCGGCGUGCUUAACACAUGCAAGUCGAGCGGUAAGGCCCUUUCGGGGGUACACGAGCGGCGAACGGGUGAGUAACACGUGGGUGACCUGCCCUCAGCUCUGGGAUAAGCCUGGGAAACCGGGUCUAAUACUGGAUAUGACUCCAUGACGCAUGUUGUGGGGUGGAAAGCCUUGUGCGGCUGAGGAUGGGCCCGCGGCCUAUCAGCUUGUUGGUGGGGUGAUGGCCUACCAAGGCGACGACGGGUAGCCGGCCUGAGAGGGCGACCGGCCACACUGGGACUGAGACACGGCCCAGACUCCUACGGGAGGCAGCAGUGGGGAAUCUUGCGCAAUGGGCGAAAGCCUGACGCAGCGACGCCGCGUGAGGGAUGACGGCCUCGG